GACGAACGCUGGCGGCGUGCCUAAUACAUGCAAGUCGAACGAAGCUGUUUUAACUGGUGCUUGCACCGACUUAAACAACUGAGUGGCGAACGGGUGAGUAACACGUGGGUAACCUGCCCCAAAGCGGGGGAUAACAUUUGGAGACAGAUGCUAAUACCGCAUAACCACAGAAACCACGUGGUUUCUGUGUCAAAGAUGGUUUCGGCUAUCACUUUGGGAUGGGCCCGGGGCGUAUUAGCUAGUUGGUAAGGUAAUGGCUUACCAAGGCAAUGAUACGUAGCCGAACUGAGAGGUUGAUCGGCCACAUUGGGACUGAGACACGGCCCAAACUCCUACGGGAGGCAGCAGUAGGGAAUCUUCCACAAUGGACGAAAGUCUGAUGGAGCAACGCCGCGUGAGUGAAGAAGGUUUUCGGAUCGUAAAACUAUGUUGUCAGAGAAGAACGUGUGCGAGAGUAACUGCUCGUGCAGUGACGGUAUCUGGCCAGAAAGCCACGGCUAACUACGUGCCAGCAGCCGCAGUAA
rnacentral:rRNA from 1 species